AUUGAACGCUGGCGGCAUGCUUUACACAUGCGAGUCGAACGGCAGCGCGGGCUUCGGCCUGGCGGCGAGUGGCGAACGGGUGAGUAAUACAUCGGAACGUGCCCAGUAGUGGGGGAUAGCUCGGCGAAAGCCGGAUUAAUACCGCAUACGACCUGAGGGUGAAAGCGGGGGAUCUUCGGACCUCGCGCUAUUGGAGCGGCCGAUGGCAGAUUAGCUAGUUGGUGGGGUAAAGGCCUACCAAGGCGACGAUCUGUAGCUGGUCUGAGAGGACGACCAGCCACACUGGGACUGAGACACGGCCCAGACUCCUACGGGAGGCAGCAGUGGGGAAUUUUGGACAAUGGGCGAAAGCCUGAUCCAGCAAUGCCGCGUGUGUGAAGAAGGCCUUCGGGUUGUAAAGCACUUUUGGCCGGAAAGAAAAGGACUGUUCCAAUACCGCCGUUGGAUGACGGUACCCGCAGAAUAAGCACCGGCUAACUACGUG
rnacentral:rRNA from 1 species